UGCAGGAAUCUCAGGGCUGCAAGCAGCUGGGUGCUGCCACACGCAUGAGCACAGCAGGAGUCCUCCUGAAAACGUGGCACAUCCGAGGGCACAGGGUGACAUGUGGCACUCCGUGUUUGGCAACUCCGUUCUGCACUGCCUGCUUGGGCUGGGGGUUUGGUUACAGCCAGCGCUCAGCAGAGAGCAGCCCAAGCACAGCUGCCCAUGGCCCAGCUGCAGGUACAGCUGCAGGUUGGUGCCUUGUGGUUAAGGGCCGCCUGAGGAUGGAAAGUAUCUCCGCUCAAUUCCUCACUAGACUUCCUCUCCACUUGCUGUGCCACACCACUGCAGCCCUCCUCGCUCCGUUAAUGCUCCCAAUGGCUGUCUCUUUCUGCUUCAUUUCCCAGUCUGGAGCCGACAAUGUGAGGACAGCAGCACAGUGCUCUGCAGCCUGCUCCCUACUCGUGUCACACACCAGCAGCUACUGAGCAUCACCUGCCUCUGUGCACCCACCCGGAGAGCUUUUCAGUGGCGUGGGAAAGUCUGUGAGAUACAAUCUCUCCUGAGCGACCCGGCCUUCCCUGCACGCAGUGCUGUGCAUGGCUCUUGGCAGAGCUCCCCCUUCCUGCCCUGCUCCACCUCCUCCUCACUGCUGCUGGGCCACGUUCCCGACAUUGGUGCCCCACAGCUGGAGCUGAGCUGAAGGUCUGCAUGGCUUAGAGGAGAGCAGCGGAAAUGUGAUGCUUCUGCCAAGGCAGUGCACCUGUGGGAAAAGUGGAUGCAACGAGGCCACGUGCACGGGGAUGUAUUGAUUGUGUCAGUGCAUGAGCUACGAGCACAGCCUGGGUAGCAGUGGUUCUCAUCUUGCUGCAGCAGCAGAUGGACAGAAUGAAGCAUUUCAAACGGGCAGGAGGGAGUGAGGACCACGCGGUGACAGCCCCGUGUCCCCCCGGCACACCGAGGGCUGCUGCUGGCGCUGGGGCACACCUCUCGCUGCAGUUGUUUUUCAGCCACCCAGGGCGGGCACACCCUGCUUCCUGCACGGGCGGCCUCGGCGCUUCCUGCUGCUAUAAUUAGAAGGACAGUGGGGAACGGGGCUCAAACCCUCCCUACCCUCUGGGGAUGAUCAUGGGGCUAUACCAGGCACUGUCCUCCCGCUGCGGCUCAGGGGCGGAGUGGCAUCGGGGCAGCGUCCUCUGCCCAACGUGCAGCGGGCAGCAGCGGGGAGCUGCAGCCACCCCGCACCGACACGCAGCCCUGUGGUUGACCUCCCCUCACUGCACCGGGCAGGAGGGCGAUUGUAUCUCUGCGGCUGUGGAAUAAGCUCAGUCUAAACAACUCACCCGAGGGCUGCAGCGAGGCCACUGCCAUCCCGGCUCCCAGCCUGCCGCACACAGCUCCCUGCGGUGCUGCUGCUCCAGAGGGGAGCGAGCCCAUCCCCAAAGGCUCCCUGAGCGCUGUGCCCCCGGGCGUGGGACAGACGCAUGUCGUGUGGCUCUUCUGCCAACACCGCGGCUCUCUGUCUCAGCUGCGCUCCGGACACGCAGGACCCAGUCCUGAGCUCUCCCAGCGCUGCCUGGGAGCAAAAUGGAGGAGAAGCUGUCCAGAAAGAACAAUGCUCCCUUGAGGCAAAACGCGCUGGUGUCACCGCGCUUGGAAACGAGCUGCUGCUGCUGAAUGACUCCCGGGAUUUGCAUGAAGAACCCCAACAGCGGUUUCGCUCCGGGGCAGCGCGGCCGGCAGGGCGGCCAGGCGGCGGGCGCGAG
ensembl:lncRNA